AAGACCCUAUCAAACUUUACUUUAGUUUAACUGGGGCAGUUAAUUAAUAAAAACUUUAAUAAAGAUUAAGUACUAAAUAGANNNCCCAACANUAGUUGAUUACANUGAACAAGUUACUGUAGGGAUAACAGCGUAAUAUAUAUCUAAAGUUCUUAUUUUGAUAUAAGUUUGCGACCUCGAUGUUGAAUUNAUAUUACUUUCAAGCGCAAGAGCCUGAAAAGUGGGUCUGUUCGACCCCUAAAUAUAUACAUGAUUUGAGUUCAAAUCGGUGUAAACCAGAUUGGUUUCUAUCUAUUNUUAUUUGUGUCUUAGUACGAAAGGACCUGAAACAAUAUUAUAUAAUNAUUUAUAUGGCAGAAAAAUGCUUUAGAUUUAGGAUCUAAUUAUAAUAGAUUAUUAUACUCUAUUUAACUUGUCUAAUCUCUGUUAUUAGAAUCCUUAUCGCAGUAGCUUUUUAUACCCUCCUAGAGCGAAAAAUUCUAAGCUACAUCC
rnacentral:rRNA from 1 species